GGGACAUACAUGAUAGGCCGGCGGCAACUCCUGAGUAGAGAGGGACCAGACUCAGCUCCAGGUUCAACGUCGCGAGACCAAAUGUAGAUGAAAAACGAGCUCAGAUAGGUCCGGGUUGCUAUCGAGUAUUUUGGGCCUGGCGAGUAUCGGAGCCGUCCCUAACACGUCGCUGUCUAGGUAGUGAGGAGAGGAAUUCCCGGAUAACUAGGCCUGCAACCCGUCAUUUGGCCAAUGCCAGCUCGCGGCGUUCUUCCGAGAGACAAAGAGACAAAGAAGAGAAGCCAACUGAAUCUGAGCUGGCGACACUUGAGUAAAAAAGCGGGCUUCUUUUAAAGUGCAUUCAUUUGAGAGGAAACUCCGCAAAGUGUUGUAGUCGGCAACGCUUGUUGAAUCAGGUAUUCCAUUCCUUCGUCUGGGGAGUGAGUAUGGCUUCGAAAUUUUGCCAACUGGGCGGUUUCAAGAGUAACAAAAUAAUUUGAAAUACAUUUCGGCCUC
rnacentral:sRNA from 2 species